rnacentral:rRNA from 1 species
AACGAACGCUGGCGGCGUGCCUAACACAUGCAAGUCGAGCGAGAAAGCUCCCUUCGGGGGGUGAGUAAAGCGGCGCACGGGUGAGUAACACGUAGGUAACCUACCCUCGAGCUUGGGAUAACCUACCGAAAGGUGGGCUAAUACCGGAUAUGACCACGGAGGUCACGGCCUCUGCGGUGAAAGAUGGCCUCUACUUGUAAGCUAUCACUCGGGGAUGGGCCUGCGCGCCAUUAGCUUGUUGGUGGGGUAAUGGCCUACCAAGGCUUUGAUGGCUAGCUGGUCUGAGAGGAUGAUCAGCCACACUGGGACUGAAACACGGCCCAGACUCCUGCGGGAGGCAGCAGUGGGGGAUAUUGCGCAAUGGGCGAAAGCCUGACGCAGCGACGCCGCGUGAGUGAUGAAGGCCCUCGGGUCGUAAAGCUCUGUCGAGGGGGACGAAACAGUUUCGGGUUAAUACCCCGGAGCCCUGACGGUACCCCUAAAGGAAGCCCCGGCUAACUCCGUGCCAGCCGCCGCCGUAACAC